CACAGAAGAUAAAACAAUGCUUGUUUUUGUCCUGUAGAUCCCUCUAAUGUCCCCAAUGGAAAGACGUGUUACUCUUGUGAUGAGAAGAGCUGCUCAAACAUAUUGAGCUGUUCAGGAAGUGAAGACCGCUGCUUCAAAGCAACAGGGAGUUUCGGUGGCCAGUCAAUGGUUAUAAAAGGCUGUGUCUCUAAAUCUAUCUGUGAUGCUGAAACAUCAGUUCAGGAUGUUCAGGGAGCCUCAUGUUGUGAGGGGAACCUGUGUAACGGUGCUCAGAGCAUCUCUCAGAGCUUCCUGUUCCUCUGCUGUUCUCUGAUCUCCUUCAUCCUGCUGCACUGAAUCCAGCAGCUCUUCACAUCUACAAUCAGACACACUGCACUGAAUAUAGAGCUUGUACUUUCUCUGUACUGUGCAUAUUUGGUGUGUUUCUAUGAUUUUUUUGCUGAGACAUUCUGAUGUGAUAUUUUAUGAAUUAAAACCUUUCAAUUAAUACAGCGUGUCAUGCUGUAAAAAAUCAUUACUACAAUUUUUUUUAAUUUUUUUAAUUCUUAAAAUAAAAUAUAAAUUAAAUGAUCAUUAUGUUCAGAAUAAGCAUGUGUGAUAAUUAUUUAAUUAUUCAAACAAGUUAAACUCUUUAGUUUUUAUUCUGAGGUUUGUUUAUAACAAUAUCUGCAUUCCCACUAAAAGGAAUGCUGUUCAGUUACAGAUCACAAAGGCAAUAAAGUAAAAAAUUUAGAUAUAUAGGCCUAUGUUGAGAAGUAAUAUUUUGCAAAUACAUUUGUCAGUAUUUCUCACUCAGUAUAUUUUAUGUAGCUGCCAAGGAGUCAAGGAGAAGAGUUGACAAAAAUUUUAUAAGUUGGUUUGUCAAUUAUCAACAAACGUUGUCCAACAUUGUUUCGAAAAAUAAAGAAAACAAACACAA